rnacentral:tRNA from 1 species
AAGGAUUUAAGUUAAAAAGGAAACUGUCAGCCUUCAAAGCUGCAAUUAGAGAGGCUCUCUAAGCCUUA